GCUUGUCUCAAAGAUUAAGCCAUGCAUGUCUAAGUAUAAACAAAUCUAUACUGUGAAACUGCGAAUGGCUCAUUAUAUCAGUUAUAGUUUAUUUGAUGGUUCUUACUACUUGGAUAACCGUAGUAAUUCUAGAGCUAAUACAUGCAUCAAGCAGUCUCACGGCUGUGUAUUUAUUAGAUACAAUCAGCCCCCUCGGGGUCAUGAUGAAUCAUAAUAACUGAACGAAGCGCAUGCUCACGCGGCGCUGUUUCAUUCAAGUUUCUGCCCUAUCAGCUUUCGAUGGUAGGGUAUUGGCCUACCAUGGCGUUAACGGGUAACGGAGAAUUAGGGUUCGAUUCCGGAGAGGGAGCCUGAGAGAUGGCUACCACAUCCAAGGAAGGCAGCAGG
rnacentral:rRNA from 1 species